GCCCGGAUGGUCUAGUGGUAUGAUUCUCGCUUGUAAGGCUACCGUACCAGGAUUACCAACUUUACCACAUACUAAUCCAGAAUAGUGGGAUUAUCCGAUCUAAAUGCGAGAGGCCCCGUGUUCGAACCACGGUUCGGGCC